rnacentral:misc_RNA from 1 species
GGCUUUAAUUACUUGUGAAUUUAAUUACUUGCAAAAGGGAAUUACUUGUGUUGGUUAGCUAAAUUACUUGUUGCCAGUAUUACUAACCACCUUAAUUACUUAGAUGACAGAAAAUAAUUACUCAUGAAUUUUAUUAUUCAAUUCCGUAUUUACUUAAGAGAAAAAUUACUUACACCCAUAAUUAUUGAUCUUAUUUACUUAAUACCCCAAGUGCUUGUGAUAAUAAUUACUUGAUGCCCUGACUCGUGGAAAUACUUAUGUACGUAUUUUUAAAAAUAUAUUUUACUUAUGCAGUUUAUUACUUGUGCAACAUUUUAUCUAUGACAAAUAUGUAAUUAAUAGCAGUCCUAAUAAAUAUUUUUAUUUAUGGAAAAUUGUUAUAAUGCAAAAAUGUAUUACCGAGCACACGUCUUUAUGAGCUAAGUUACUAGUGCAAUUCAUUUUUAAACGGUGUUACUUAUGGGAAUCCGUCAUUGUGCUACGCACCCCAUUUUAACCUUUUUUUAAAGCUUAAGAUAGUUGUAAACAUCGCCAUUUUGGCUUUGACAAAAUUUCGUCUGCUAGAACUUGAAACACAAAUUUUCAAAAGUUUUACCUCUGUGAACGUUUCCGUCAUUCCGUUUUAGAAAGAUGGUCCUGUCAAAGUUUGAGAUAAGAAAAGCCCGAUCAAUGGUUGGAGACUCCAGGCAAGCAGUAAGAGUCAGGGUAGCUUUCGCAGCAAGCUCGACGGCCGAAAACUUCGUGACUAAGAUAGCUUGUCACCGUGAGGUACAGUCUGGCCUACUUUCAGAACACGUACAACAAGAGUAUGUCACAUGCAUACAUAUUUAACUGUAUUUUGGUACACAAUAUAUGGGCUUUUAACGGGAUUGGGGUGAUUACCAGCCAUGGGUGGGGCCCACAGCGAGAAGCACUACUAACAAUUGCAGCUGGAAUUGUUUUGAAUGAUCCUCAUCAAAACGGUAGAGGCGGUAGAGCCCUUGUUGCUCGUGCUGGAGCCCAUCCUGGUGGUGGCAUUCGUGGUCUUGGUGCUGCUGUGGGAGCCAAUGCUGCUCAAGCCCAAGGCGCAGCUGCCCACAUUGUAAAUCCUGCUGAUGGUGGCCUUGGUGCACCAGACCAUGUUGCUGCUGCAGGAGACCAGGCUGUUGGUGCACGCCCUGAAAUUCCCAUUAAUGCUGCUGAUGGUGGCCUUGGUGCACCGGACAUUGUUGCUGCUGCAGGAGACCAGGCUGUUUGGUGCCCGUCCUGAAAUUCCCAUUAAUGCUGCUGAUGGUGGCCUUGGUGCACCGGACAUUGUUGCUGCUGCAGGAGGGUGCUGAAGGUGGCCUUGGUGCUGCUGCUGAAGUCCAAGUUCCCGCUGUUGGGAGGGUCCCUGCUCCUGGUGGUGGUAGAGGCGGUCACCGUGGGAAUCUAGGAAGGGUUGUGAAUGGACGUGUUGGAAAAGGACGUGUUCGAAAAGGCCGUGGUGGUGGAGGUAGAGUUUGAGUGCACUCCUGUCGUGAAUAACCUAAUAA